rnacentral:rRNA from 1 species
UGUUUCAGCUACAAGUUCACUGUCAGCUACCUUGUUUCGACUUCGUAUUGACUGUGU